rnacentral:rRNA from 1 species
UACGUAGGGUGCAAGCGUUGUCCGGAAUUAUUGGGCGUAAAGAGCUCGUAGGCGGUCUGUCGCGUCGGAUGUGAAAAUCCAGGGCUCAACCCUGGACCUGCAUUCGAUACGGGCAGACUAGAGUUCGGCAGGGGAGACUGGAAUUCCUGGUGUAGCGGUGAAAUGCGCAGAUAUCAGGAGGAACACCGGUGGCGAAGGCGGAUCUCUGGGCCAUUACUGACGCUGAGGAGCGAAAGCGUGGGGAGCGAACAGG